rnacentral:sRNA from 1 species
AUGCGUUAGGGAUAGUAGCGACAUCCUUUUGUGUAGAGAAGCGAAACAAAAGAUACAGCGAAUAGCCCGACCUGUU